rnacentral:piRNA from 1 species
UGGGAUGCUAGUAGCCUGGAGAG